CCUGGCUCAGGAUGAACGCUAGCGGCAGGCUAACACAUGCAAGUCGAGGGGUAACAGGUCACUUCGGUGAUGCUGACGACCGGCGCACGGGUGAGUAACGCGUAUGGAACCUACCUGAAACAGGGGGAUAGCUUCCGGAAACGGGGAUUAAUACCCCAUACGAUUCAUUUGUGGCCUCACAAAUGGAUAAAAGCUACGGCGGUUUCAGAUGGUCAUGCGUACCAUUAGUUAGUUGGUGAGGUAAAGGCUCACCAAGGCGAUGAUGGUUAGGGGUCCUGAGAGGGUAGUCCCCCACACUGGUACUGAGACACGGACCAGACUCCUACGGGAGGCAGCAGUGAGGAAUAUUGGUCAAUGGGCGCUAGCCUGAACCAGCCAUGCCGCGUGCAGGAAGACGGCCCUACGGGUUGUAAACUGCUUUUCUGCAGGAAGAAUAUAUAGUCUUAGGGCUAUAUUGACGGUACUGCAGGAAUAAGCAUCGGCUAACUCCGUGCCAGCAGCCGCGGUAAUACGGAGGAUGCAAGCGUUAUCCGGAUUCAUUGGGUUUAAAGGGUGCGCAGGCUGUAAAGCAAGUCAGUGGUGAAAGCCCUGGGCUUAACUCAGGGAUUGCCAUUGAAACUGUUUUACCAGAGUGUAGUAGAGGACGGCGGAAUGAGUUGUGUAGCGGUGAAAUGCAUAGAUAUAACUCAGAACACCUAUUGCGUAGGCAGCUGUCUAUACUACAACUGACGCUGAGGCACGAAAGCGUGGGGAGCGAACAGGAUUAGAUACCCUGGUAGUCCACGCUGUAAACGAUGAUCACUCGUUGUUGGCUACUUAGUAGUCAGUGACCAAGGGAAACCGAUAAGUGAUCCACCUGGGGAGUACGUCGGCAACGAUGAAACUCAAAGGAAUUGACGGGGGCCCGCACAAGCGGAGGAACAUGUGGUUUAAUUCGAUGAUACGCGAGGAACCUUACCUGGGCUUAAAUGCUGGCUGCAUUGGAGGGAAACAUUCAUUUCCUACGGGACCGCCAGCAAGGUGCUGCAUGGUUGUCGUCAGCUCGUGCCGUGAGGUGUCGGGUUAAGUCCCAUAACGAGCGCAACCCCUAUCGCUAGUUGCCAGCAUGUAAUGGUGGGGACUCUAGCGAGACUGCCGGUGUAAACCGGAGGAAGGUGGGGAUGACGUCA
rnacentral:rRNA from 1 species